rnacentral:rRNA from 1 species
AGUGAACGCUGGCGGUAGGCCUAACACAUGCAAGUCGAACGGCAGCACAGUAAGAGCUUGCUCUUACGGGUGGCGAGUGGCGGACGGGUGAGGAAUACAUCGGAAUCUACUUUUUCGUGGGGGAUAACGUAGGGAAACUUACGCUAAUACCGCAUACGACCUACGGGUGAAAGCAGGGGAUCUUCGGACCUUGCGCGAUUGAAUGAGCCGAUGUCGGAUUAGCUAGUUGGCGGGGUAAAGGCCCACCAAGGCGACGAUCCGUAGCUGGUCUGAGAGGAUGAGACGCCAAACUGGAACUGAGACACGGUCCAGACCCCUACGGGAGGCAGCAGGGGGGAAUUUGGGAAAAGGGGCGAAACCCUGACCCAGCCAUCCCGCGGGGGUGAAGAAGGCCUGCGGGUUUUAAAGCCUUUUUUUUGGGAAAAAAAAGAAGCAGGUUAAAACCCCGCUGUUCUGACGGUACCCAAAAAAAAAGCCCCGGCUAACUUCGU